GACUCUCUCAGGUUCUAGCACGCCCUCGGAAACGCUAGAAUCUUUAGGCCGGCGCGAGCCGGUCUUCUUUUU
rnacentral:ncRNA from 1 species